UACGGAGGAUGCGAGCGUUAUCCGGAUUUAUUGGGUUUAAAGGGUGCGUAGGCGGCUUAGUAAGUCAGCGGUGAAAUUUUGCAGCUUAACUGUAACAGUGCCGUUGAUACUGCCAGGCUAGGAUUUGGUUGCUGUGGGUGGAAUGUGUGGUGUAGCGGUGAAAUGCUCAGAUAUCACACAGAAUAUCGAUUGCGAAGGCAGCUCACAAAGCCAAGAUUGACGCUGAGGCACGAAAGUGUGGGGAUCAAA
rnacentral:rRNA from 1 species